rnacentral:rRNA from 1 species
UGCUUGUCUCAAGAUUAAGCCAUGCAUGUCUCAGUACAUACCGUAUUAAGGUGAAACCGCGAAAGGCUCAUUAAAUCAGUUAUGGUUCCUUAGAUCGUACCCACAUUUACUUGGAUAACUGUGGUAAUUCUAGAGCUAAUACAUGCAAACAGAACUCCAACCGGAGACGGAAGGAGUGCUUUUAUUAGAUCAAAAUCAAUCGGCAAUGUUUCGGCGUUGUCGUAUUCUUUGGUGAAUCUGAAUAACUUUUUGCUGAUCGCAUGGUCUUGCACCGGCGACGCAUCUUUCAAAUGUCUGCCUUAUCAACUGUCGAUGGUAGGAUCUGCGCCUACCAUGGUUGUAACGGGUAACGGGGAAUCAGGGUUCGAUUCCCGAAAGGGAGCCUGAGAAACGGCUACCACAUCCAAGGAAGGCAGCAGGCGCGCAAAUUACCCACUCCCGGCACGGGGAGGUAGUGACGAAAAAUAACGAUACGGGACUCAUCCGAGGCCCCGUAAUCGGAAUGAGUACAGUCUAAACCUCUUAACGAGGAUCAAUUGGAGGGCAAGUCUGGUGCCAGCAGCCGCGGUAAUUCCAGCUCCAAUAGCGUAUAUUAAAGUUGUUGCGGUUAAAAAGCUCGUAGUCGAAUCUGUGUCACGUGCCGACGGUUCAUCGCUCGCGGUGUUUACUGUCGUGUUUUUCACGGGACGUCCUGCCGGUGGGCUUAGCUCGGUAAAACGGGCGGUCCAACUUAAAAUCCCAUCGUGGUGCUCUUCAUUGAGUGUCAGGGUGGGCCGGCACGUUUACUUUGAACAAAUUAGAGUGCUCAAAGCAGGCUAAUUUCGCCUGAAUAUUGUGUGCAUGGAAUAAUGGAAUAGGACCUCGGUUCUAUUUUGUUGGUUUUCGGAACCCCGAGGUAAUGAUUAAUAGGAACGGAUGGGGGCAUUCGUAUUGCGACGUUAGAGGUGAAAUUCUUGGAUCGUCGCAAGACGGACAGAAGCGAAAGCAUUUGCCAAAAACGCUUUCAUUGAUCAAGAACGAAAGUUAGAGGUUCGAAGGCGAUCAGAUACCGCCCUAGUUCUAACCAUAAACGAUGCCAGCUAGCGAUCCGUCGACGUUAAUUAGAUGACUCGACGGGCAGCUUCCGGGAAACCAAAGCUUUUGGGUUCCGGGGGAAGUAUGGUUGCAAAGCUGAAACUUAAAGGAAUUGACGGAAGGGCACCACCAGGAGUGGAGCCUGCGGCUUAAUUUGACUCAACACGGGAAACCUCACCAGGCCCGGACACUGUAAGGAUUGACAGAUUGAGAGCUCUUUCUUGAUUCAGUGGGUGGUGGUGCAUGGCCGUUCUUAGUUGGUGGAGCGAUUUGUCUGGUUAAUUCCGAUAACGAACGAGACUCUAGCCUGCUAACUAGGCGUAUUUCCGACAUCCUAAAGGUUGAGCCGCAUAUGUGUCAGGUUGCUGCGUGGGCCUCCUUCACGGGUGUGCUUGCGUGUGUAAUGCUGUAUGUGUGUUGGUUUUCAAUUUUUACUGUCGGCGUACAAUUUACUCUUCUUAGAGGGACAGGUGGCUCUUAGCCGCACGAGAUUGAGCAAUAACAGGUCUGUGAUGCCCUUAGAUGUUCUGGGCCGCACGCGCGCUACACUGAAGGAAUCAGCGUGUCAUCUCCCUGGCCGAGAGGCCCGGGUAAUCCGCUGAACCUCCUUCGUGCUAGGGAUCGGGGCUUGCAAUUAUUCCCCGUGAACGAGGAAUUCCCAGUAAGCGCGAGUCAUAAGCUCGCGUUGAUUACGUCCCUGCCCUUUGUACACACCGCCCGUCGCUACUACCGAUUGAGCGAUUUAGUGAGGUCUUCGGACUGAUACGCGAUUGCGUUUCGGCGUAAUUGGUGUCGUCGGAAAGAUGACCAAACUGAAUAGUUAGAGGAAGUAAAAGUC